ACGAGAAGUGACGUACGAGCGCAUAUUCGUGGACGUUUUUAGGCGCCUCAGACGUCUCAUCCGCCGGUUCGUCUCCAGCAACGAUUCAGUUUCUAUCAGUUGAAUUUGCCAGAUUACGAUGUCACGUACUUAUCAUAUUAUCACUACCAAUUGACAAGAACAAGAUCAACUUGAUUGAGAAUUCGAAUAUCGGAUCUGGCGGAUUCAAGAUGAAUUCUCGGAAGAGAAGAAAAGGAAGGAGGAGAUAAAAGACGUAAACGCUUCUCCGAGAAAGCAUUUCUGGAACUUCUUGCGAAAAUUCAUGGGAAAGAUAUAAAAGCUUCGUUCAAAGUGA
rnacentral:lncRNA from 13 species